rnacentral:rRNA from 1 species
UCAGCGGCGGACGGGUGAGUAACACGUGGGCAACCUGCCCGCAAGACCGGGAUAACUCCGGGAAACCGGAGCUAAUACCGGAUAACACCGAAGACCGCAUGGUCUUUGGUUGAAAGGCGGCCUUUGGCUGUCACUUGCGGAUGGGCCCGCGGCGCAUUAGCUAGUUGGUGAGGUAACGGCUCACCAAGGCGACGAUGCGUAGCCGGCCUGAGAGGGUGACCGGCCACACUGGGACUGAGACACGGCCCAGACUCCUACGGGAGGCAGCAGUAGGGAAUCUUCCGCAAUGGGCGAAAGCCUGACGGAGCGACGCCGCGUGAGCGAAGAAGGCCUUCGGGUCGUAAAGCUCUGUUGUGAGGGACGAAGGAGCGCCGUUCGAAGAGGGCGGCGCGGUGACGGUACCUCACGAGGAAG